rnacentral:rRNA from 1 species
UACAGAGGGUGCGAGCGUUGUCCGGAAUCACUGGGCGUAAAGGGCGCGUAGGUGGCGCUGCAAGUCGGUGGUGAAAGCUCGUCGCUUAACGGCGAGUCGGCCAUCGAAACUGCGGGGCUGGAGCACUGUAGGGGCAGAUGGAAUUCCGGGUGUAGCGGUGGAAUGCGUAGAGAUCCGGAAGAACACCGGUGGCGAAGGCGGUCUGCUGGGCAGUUGCUGACACUGAGGCGCGACAGCGUGGGGAGCAAACAGG